CGCGGCCUAUCAGCUUGUUGGUGGGGUGAUGGCCUACCAUGGCGACGACGGGUAGCCGGCCUGAGAGGGUGACCGGCCACACUGGGACUGAGACACGGCCCAGACUCCUGCGGGAGGCAGCAGUGGGGAAUAUUGCACAAUGGGCGCAAGCCUGAUGCAGCGACGCCGCGUGGGGGAUGACGGCCUUCGGGUUGUAAACCUCUUUCGACUCCGAAGAAGCGUAAGUGACGGUAGGGGUAGAAGAAGCACCGGCUAACUACGUGCCAGCAGCCGCGGUAAUACGUAGGGUGCGAGCGUUGUCCGGAAUUAUUGGGCGUAAAGAGCUUGUAGGCGGUUUGUCGCGUCUGUCGUGAAAACCAGGGGCUUAACUCCUGGCGUGCGGUGGGUACGGGCAGGCUAGAGUGUGGUAGGGGAGACUGGAAUUCCUGGUGUAGCGGUGAAAUGCGCAGAUAUCAGGAGGAACACCGAUGGCGAAGGCAGGUCUCUGGGCCAUUACUGACGCUGAGAAGCGAAAGCAUGGGGAGCGAACAGGAUUAGAUACCCUGGUAGUCCAUGCCGUAAACGUUGGGCGCUAGGUGUGGGGCUCAUUCCACGAGUUCUGUGCCGCAGCUAACGCAUUAAGCGCCCCGCCUGGGGAGUACGGA
rnacentral:rRNA from 1 species